GUACGUGGCAAGCGUUGUCCGGAAUUAUUGGGCGUAAAGCGCGCGCAGGCGGUUCUUUAAGUCUGAUGUGAAAGCCCACGGCUCAACCGUGGAGGGUCAUUGGAAACUGGAAAACUUGAGUACAGAAGAGGAAAGCGGAAUUCCACGUGUAGCGGUGAAAUGCGUAGAGAUGUGGAGGAACACCAGUGGCGAAGGCGGCUUUCUGGUCUGUAACUGACGCUGAGGCGCGAAAGCGUGGGGAGCAAACAGGGAUUAGAUACCCUGGUAGUCCACGCCGUAAACGAUGAGUGCUAAGUGUUAGGGGGUUUCCGCCCCCUUAGUGCUGCAGCUAACGCAUUAAGCACUCCGCCUGGGGAUACGGCCGCAAGGCUG
rnacentral:rRNA from 1 species